GAAGCAGCACACCAACGCACAACACCGCUUCAUUUUUUUCUUUUGCUUUGCUUCAUUUGGUUGAAGUUUAGAGUUUGAAACAGAAAGAAAAAAGGUUAGAUUCAAGUCCGCCACCUUGCCACAACCACAUCUCCACCCCACAAGACGACCAUUCGAUCUUAGUUUCUAGCUCCAAGAAUUUUAGAAGUUGUUUUUGAUUCUAGAAAAAGAAAAUUUUAAUUUCUUAAUUUACUAACUAGAUUCACGGGUCUUCUUUAAUUUAUUGUGGAUUUUUCUGUUCAAAAAAGACCAUCAUCUCAGAUUUCUGUAUUGUUAUCUCCAGAGGAACGGCAUCUCUAUCGCCGCCAUCAAAUGGCGAACGGAAAGCUGCCUGAAGAGUUGCACAUGGAGAUUCUGUGCAGGCUUCCGGUGAAAUCCCUUCUUCGAUCCAAAUCCGUCUGCAAGAACUGGUACUCUCUUAUCCGAAACCCUGCCUUCAUUUCUCUCCGCAGCAAACACUCCGCCGAAAACACCGACUGCCUCCUCGUUAAGCGAUCCCUCAAUGGUGGCGCCUGCUUGUCCUUUGUCCCAAACGAAACCACAGUUGAGGAUAUUGAUAUAUCUUUCACCGGUCUAGAGUCUCUAGACAUUAGAGAUCUCCAGCUAUUGGGUCCUUGCAACGGCGUCGUUUGUCUCGCUAAAGGCUGGUUUAACUCAACCAUGGUGAUAUGCAACCCAUCAAUGAGAGAAUUCAGGGUACUUCCUCGACCCUCUCAUAAAAAAGACCACGAAAAUAAUAUGGGAUUUGGGUUUGAUCCAUCUACGAAUGACUAUAAAGUGGUUAAGUUCGGCGUUUUGGAUCGAAAUUCUAACAAUCUUCUUCUUGAAGUUGGCAAAACAUUUGAAAUAUAUGAUUUGAGUACAGAUUCUUGGAGGAAAGUUGAUGUGAACCCCCAUAAUAUUGGAUUCGAUUUGGAUUUCAAUUUCUUAAAAUGCACUUCGUGGAAAGGGGGUUGUUACUGGUACAUUUCCUGCUCUGAUGGUGCUGAUGCAAUUAUUGUCUUUCGGUUGACCGACGAGGUGUUCGAUGAAAUCCCUGUUCCAGAAGUUUCGUUAGCCAAUAGUUAUACCACGGAAAGGGAACUUUUCAUUCUGGAUGAUUCCCUUGCCAUGGUUCGUUAUCCAUCUGAGUGGUUACAUCCAUCGGGGUUAACAAGGGGGUAUAUUCCGUUGAUGAAGUGCUUUGGCGUAUGGGUUAUGGAUGAGGACGGGGUUGAGGUGUCUUGGACUAAAAAACUCACUAUUGGACCUCUACAGGGGCCCAACUUUGCGUUGGGAUUUCGGCGAAAUGGCGAGUUCCUCUGUGAGACCGGUGGUGGACAAAUGGUGUCGUAUCACAUAGAUACCCAACACAUAAAGGAAUAUCAAGUGUACGGUGAUCCUACCCCAGAACGUUUACAAGUUAUUGUAUACACUGAGAGCUUGAUUUCAGUCAAGAGCAACAAUAAGCAUGAUGCACACGAUGGUUUGAAUAUGUAACUCGAGUAUGGCUUUCCUAUCCUCUACUAAUUAACUGGUGGUUCGUACAUCAUGGGGCAUAAAUGAGUCUUUCCUAUCCUCUACUGUCAAGUCCUUUGGCGGUCGCUGCAAUUUCCCUUGCUUAAAGACGAAAAAAAUGGUAAAUGAGUGGCUGCCAUUAGCUGUUUAGAGGUCUUCUUGGCACUUGAUUGUCUUCUACUCAAAAGGCAUUGACAAUGAAGGCUAUUAUGAUGAAAACCAACUGAUCUGUUUGUCUUGGCAUAUUCCACUGGUGGUUUUCUCUUGUACUUGCUUUGUUUUGAUGCAGUCGCAGCUUGUAGUUGCUUAGUCUGUCGUUGCAUUUGUAGUUGUGUUUGCAGCUUAGGGUCUGUUGUAGUUCUGUUUGUUUGGUUUUGUAGGUGUAUGUUUGCUUGGCUUUUCAAUGGAAAUUAUGUUACCAAAAAAAGAAUGAAAGCUUAUCUAACUCCAUGCAGAGAAAGGGAAGGUUGGAUUUUCCAUGGCUUGGACACAGAAUAGCCUCUCUUUCUUUCAUUGUACCUGUAGUUUACUUUGGGUUUUCUUCAUAUUUUUCCAUAAUCAAGUUUGUUUGUACCCAAAUUGGGUCUUGUAUUGAGAAAAAACAUUGAAGUGGUUGCUCAUUCACAAGUCAAUUUUUUGUGAGCAUCUGAUGCAAUGCGGUCAGCUUAUCAAAACUGGUCUGCGAGUUUCCUGUUUCUGCAGAAGGCGGAUAGCCAAGAGAAGUUUGUCUUUGGAUUUUUGCUGAGAUGGGGUUAUGAUGCAAGAUGUA